UCUGUUUACACAUCCACUCACANNNUUGUGCACCCUCUGUAGUUCCAUGGCCUAGGGACUCUGUCCCCUUGCUGUGGUCCUACGUCUUUACACACACACACACACACCGUAACAAAGUCUUAUGGAAUGUAUGUCGCGUUUAACGCAAUACAAUACAACUUUCAGCAACGGAUCUCUUGGCUCUCGCAUCGAUGAAGAACGCAGCGAAAUGCGAUAAGUAAUGUGAAUUGCAGAAUUCAGUGAAUCAUCGAAUCUUUGAACGCACCUUGCGCCCUUUGGCUAUUCUGAAGGGCAUGCCUGUUUGAGUAUCAUGAACACCUCAACUCUCAUGGGUCUGCCCAUGAUGAGCUUGGACUUUGGAGGUCUUGCUGGCCAAGUGUCGGCUCCUCUCAAACUGAUCAGCUUGCCAGUGUCUGGUGGCAUCACGGGUGUGAUAACUAUCUACGCUUGUGGUUUUCUGCCAUGUAACCUUCAGUGAUGGGGGUUCGCUGGAGCUCACAGAUGUCUCUCCUUGGUGAGGACAGCUUUUUGAACGUUUGAUCUCAAAUCAGGUAGGACUACCCGCUGAACUUAAGCAUAUCAAUAAGCGGAGGAAAAGAAACUAACAAGGAUUCCCCUAGUAACUGCGAGUGAAGCGGGAAGAGCUCAAAUUUAAAAUCUGGCGUGCCUCUGGCCGUCCGAGUUGUAGUCUGGAGAAGCGUUUUCCGUGCUGGACCCGUGUACAAGUCUC
rnacentral:rRNA from 1 species